rnacentral:rRNA from 1 species
UACGUAGGUGGCGAGCGUUGUCCGGAUUUACUGGGCGUAAAGAGCGCGCAGGCGGCUGGUCAAGUCCGAUGUGAAAGCUCCCGGCUUAACUGGGAAAUUGCAUCGGAAACUGAUCGGCUGGAAGGUGGGAGAGGGUAGCGGAAUUCCCGGUGUAGUGGUGAAAUGCGUAGAUAUCGGGAGGAACACCAGUGGCGAAAGCGGGCUACCUGGCCCAUUCUUGACGC